CCUUUAUCUAGUUCAGAAAAAUUGUCUCUUACAGAAGGGACACUCUUGGAUCAAGAGGGCAGCACGAGAUAUAGGAGUUUAGUAGGAGCAUUGCAGUAUCUCACUCUCACCAGGCCUGACAUCUCCUUUGCUGUUAAUAAAGUAUGUCAGUUUCUGCAUGCACCUACUACUGUUCACUUGACAGCUGCAAAACGUAUAGUCAGAUAUGUUAAGAACACUUUGAGCAUUGGUCUGAAUUUUAGCAAGUCACCCUCUACUCUUGUCAGUGCCUUCUCUGACUCUGAUUGGGCAGGAUGCUUGGAUGACAGAAGGUCAACUGGUGGGUUUGCUGUGUUUUUUGGACCCAACUUAAUAUCAUGGUGUGCACGAAAACAGGCUACUGUCUCUAGAUCAAGUACAGAGGCAGAAUAUAAAGCAUUAGCAAAUGCUACAGCAGAGAUCAUAUGGGUUCAAUCCAUGUUGAAGGAGCUUGGUGUGAAAACUACACAAGUUCCAUGUCUAUGGUGUGAUAACCUUGGUGCCACCUACCUCUCUGCA
rnacentral:rRNA from 1 species